rnacentral:sRNA from 1 species
AGAUUGGCCCUUGCCUGGGUUCCGGCCAGCACUUGGGGCUCUAGGUGGUGGCUCUGGCAUGAGUCAAUUGCCAUGGUGGCUCUGGGAGUGGAGCAGAAGCAUCUUGGGUCCUUGGGGCCAGCUCUGCUCGCAAUUAGUGAAGUCAUUGCCUGGGGAUGGGGCCCCACAAGGGACAAGGAAAGGCUGGUCCAGGAGCCAAAAGACAAAACCUUACCUUUCUUUUCUAGAAAAUUGUACAAGCUGGAGAUAAGGACCUCGAUGGGCAGCUAGACUUUGAGGAAUUUGUCCAUUAUCUCCAAGAUCAUGAGAAGAAACUGAGGCUGGUGUUUAAGAGUUUGGACAAAAAGAAUGAUGGACGCAUCGACGCGCAGGAGAUCAUGCAGUCCCUGCGGGACUUGGGAGUCAAGAUAUCUGAACAGCAGGCAGAAAAAAUUCUCAAGAGCAUGGAUAAAAACGGCACGAUGACCAUCGACUGGAACGAGUGGAGAGACUACCACCUCCUCCACCCCGUGGAAAACAUCCCCGAGAUCAUCCUCUACUGGAAGCAUUCCACGAUCUUUGAUGUGGGUGAGAAUCUGACGGUCCCCGAUGAGUUCACAGUGGAGGAGAGGCAGACGGGGAUGUGGUGGAGACACCUGGUGGCAGGAGGUGGGGCAGGGGCCGUAUCCAGAACCUGCACGGCCCCCCUAGACAGGCUCAAGGUGCUCAUGC